UACACCUACGGGGGGCAGCAGUGUGGAAUAUUGCACAAUGGGGGAAACCCUGAUGCAGCGACGCCGCGUGAGUGAUGAAGUAUUUCGGUAUGUAAAGCUCUCUCAGCAGGGAAGAUAAUGACGGUACCUGACUAAGAAGCUCCGGCUAAAUACGUGCCAGCAGCCGCGGUAAUACGUAUGGUGCAAGCGUUAUCCGGAUUUACUGGGUGUAAAGGGAGCGUAGACGGCAUUGCAAGUCUGUUGUGAA
rnacentral:rRNA from 1 species